rnacentral:rRNA from 1 species
AUUGAACGCUGGCGGCAUGCUUUACACAUGCAAGUCGAACGGCAGCGCGGGCUUCGGCCUGGCGGCGAGUGGCGGACGGGUGAGUAAUGCAUCGGAACGUGCCCAGUAGUGGGGGAUAGCCCGGCGAAAGCCGGAUUAAUACCGCAUACGACCUGAGGGUGAAAGCGGGGGACCGAAAGGCCUCGCGCUAUUGGAGCGGCCGAUGUCGGAUUAGCUAGUUGGUGGGGUAAAGGCUUACCAAGGCGACGAUCCGUAGCUGGCCUGAGAGGACGACCAGCCACACUGGAACUGAGACACGGCCCAGACUCCUACGGGAGGCAGCAGUGGGGAAUUUUGGACAAUGGGGGCAACCCUGAUCGAGCCAUGCCGCGUGCGGGAAGAAGGCCUUCGGGUUGUAAAACGCUGUUGUUCGGGAAGAAAACCUCUGGGCUAAUACCCCGAGGGGAUGACGGUACCGGAAGAAUAAGCACCGGCUAACUACGUG